rnacentral:rRNA from 1 species
AGCGUACACGGUGGAUGCCCUGGCAGUCAGAGGCGAUGAAGGACGUGCUAAUCUGCGAUAAGCGUCGGUGAGGUGAUAUGAACCGUUAUAACCGGCGAUUUCCGAAUGGGGAAACCCAGUGUGUUUCGACACACUAUCAUUAACUGAAUCCAUAGGUUAAUGAGGCGAACCGGGGGAACUGAAACAUCUAAGUACCCCGAGGAAAAGAAAUCAACCGAGAUUCCCCCAGUAGCGGCGAGCGAACGGGGAGGAGCCCAGAGCCUGAAUCAGUGUGUGUGUUAGUGGAAGCGUCUGGAAAGGCGCGCGAUACAGGGUGACAGCCCCGUACACAAAAAUGCACAUAUUGUGAGCUCGAUGAGUAGGGCGGGACACGUGGUAUCCUGUCUGAAUAUGGGGGGACCAUCCUCCAAGGCUAAAUACUCCUGACUGACCGAUAGUGAACCAGUACCGUGAGGGAAAGGCGAAAAGAACCCCGGCGAGGGGAGUGAAAAAGAACCUGAAACCGUGUACGUACAAGCAGUGGGAGCCUCUUUAUGGGGUGACUGCGUACCUUUUGUAUAAUGGGUCAGCGACUUAUAUUCUGUAGCAAGGUUAACCGAAUAGGGGAGCCGAAGGGAAACCGAGUCUUAACUGGGCGUUAAGUUGCAGGGUAUAGACCCGAAACCCGGUGAUCUAGCCAUGGGCAGGUUGAAGGUUGGGUAACACUAACUGGAGGACCGAACCGACUAAUGUUGAAAAAUUAGCGGAUGACUUGUGGCUGGGGGUGAAAGGCCAAUCAAACCGGGAGAUAGCUGGUUCUCCCCGAAAGCUAUUUAGGUAGCGCCUCGUGAACUCAUCUUCGGGGGUAGAGCACUGUUUCGGCUAGGGGGUCAUCCCGACUUACCAACCCGAUGCAAACUACGAAUACCGAAGAAUGUUAUCACGGGAGACACACGGCGGGUGCUAACGUCCGUCGUGAAGAGGGAAACAACCCAGACCGCCAGCUAAGGUCCCAAAGUCAUGGUUAAGUGGGAAACGAUGUGGGAAGGCACAGACAGCCAGGAUGUUGGCUUAGAAGCAGCCAUCAUUUAAAGAAAGCGUAAUAGCUCACUGGUCGAGUCGGCCUGCGCGGAAGAUGUAACGGGGCUAAACCAUGCACCGAAGCUGCGGCAGCGACACUAUGUGUUGUUGGGUAGGGGAGCGUUCUGUAAGCCUGUGAAGGUGGCCUGUGAGGGUUGCUGGAGGUAUCAGAAGUGCGAAUGCUGACAUAAGUAACGAUAAAGCGGGUGAAAAGCCCGCUCGCCGGAAGACCAAGGGUUCCUGUCCAACGUUAAUCGGGGCAGGGUGAGUCGACCCCUAAGGCGAGGCCGAAAGGCGUAGUCGAUGGGAAACAGGUUAAUAUUCCUGUACUUGGUGUUACUGCGAAGGGGGGACGGAGAAGGCUAUGUUGGCCGGGCGACGGUUGUCCCGGUUUAAGCGUGUAGGCUGGUUUUCCAGGCAAAUCCGGAAAACCAAGGCUGAGGCGUGAUGACGAGGCACUACGGUGCUGAAGCGACAAAUGCCCUGCUUCCAGGAAAAGCCUCUAAGCAUCAGGUAACAUCAAAUCGUACCCCAAACCGACACAGGUGGUCAGGUAGAGAAUACCAAGGCGCUUGAGAGAACUCGGGUGAAGGAACUAGGCAAAAUGGUGCCGUAACUUCGGGAGAAGGCACGCUGAUAUGUAGGUGAAGCGACUUGCUCGUGGAGCUGAAAUCAGUCGAAGAUACCAGCUGGCUGCAACUGUUUAUUAAAAACACAGCACUGUGCAAACACGAAAGUGGACGUAUACGGUGUGACGCCUGCCCGGUGCCGGAAGGUUAAUUGAUGGGGUUAGCGGUAACGCGAAGCUCUUGAUCGAAGCCCCGGUAAACGGCGGCCGUAACUAUAACGGUCCUAAGGUAGCGAAAUUCCUUGUCGGGUAAGUUCCGACCUGCACGAAUGGCGUAAUGAUGGCCAGGCUGUCUCCACCCGAGACUCAGUGAAAUUGAACUCGCUGUGAAGAUGCAGUGUACCCGCGGCAAGACGGAAAGACCCCGUGAACCUUUACUAUAGCUUGACACUGAACAUUGAGCCUUGAUGUGUAGGAUAGGUGGGAGGCUUUGAAGCGUGGACGCCAGUCUGCGUGGAGCCAACCUUGAAAUACCACCCUUUAAUGUUUGAUGUUCUAACGUUGGCCCCUUACCGGGGUUGCGGACAGUGUCUGGUGGGUAGUUUGACUGGGGCGGUCUCCUCCCAAAGCGUAACGGAGGAGCACGAAGGUUAGCUAAUCCUGGUCGGACAUCAGGAGGUUAGUGCAAUGGCAUAAGCUAGCUUGACUGCGAGCGUGACGGCGCGAGCAGGUGCGAAAGCAGGUCAUAGU